ACAAUCCCAUGUAAUGAACAAGAAUGGGAUAAAGAGUUGGCUUACAAUCGCCACUUCACACAAUACAUAAAUAAAACAUACAUCAUUCAGAGUACACACAUAGUCCGACUACGGACAAAUCCAAAUAAAAAGAAGAUAACCCAACUGCUAGAUCCCGAUCUUCCCCAACUGGACAUCACUACUGAUCAACAUGAAAAGAAACAUAGAAACGACCAAGUCUCUCGUCGAAACCCCACUUGAGUUCGGCAGCAUCACCUGCGCUGGUAUCCUCGGCACCUGCAACUGUUUUUGUAGUAAUCUGUGAGCCACGAGGACUCAGCAAUCCCAUUACCAUGGGUAACAAGACUAGCAAAGCUUAAUGGGAAAGGAAGGGGUAAAGUGGUGAGGUUGCAGCAGCGGCUAAGCAAGUAUGGUGGCUAUCAUACGCAAAUAAGAGCGAGAAGAGAAGCAAUGGAACGGUCGUCAACUAGUAAUGAACAAGAAGUGAUCCUGAACUCCUAUUUACGCCAAGCAUAACCCAAGGACCGUGUUCUCCUCUCGAACAACCCCGAAAGAGAGACAAUCACAGUUACGCACACGGUUGGUGUAUUUUAGAAAAGAUUACUUCAAGUUUACUACAACCGGAUAUUAACAAAUUCCCAUCUGCCACAUAACCGCGGGCACGGCUUUCGAAAGUUCAAAACCCUGCAGGGGUGUCCCAACUUAGCCCAUGAUAAGCUCUCACGGUCAACGAAGGAUAUUCCUUCUCCCGGGAAGACCCGAUCAAUCUCGGAAUCCCGGUUACAAGACAUUUCGACAAGUUAAAAUAAGACCAGCAAAGCCGCCCGGCGUGUCGACACCCUGAUAGAAGCCGCACGUAUCUCGUUCUCAGUGUUGGAAAUAUGCCCUAGAGGCAAUAAUAAAAUGGUUAUUAUUAUAUUUCCUUGUUCAUGAUAAUUGUCUGUUGUUCAUGCUAUAAUUGUGUUAUCCGGAAAUCGUAAUACAUGUGUGAAUACAUAGACCACAACAUGUCCCUAGUGAGCCUCUAGUUGACUAGCUCGUUGAUCAACAGAUAGUCAUGGUUUCCUGACUAUGGACAUUGGAUGUCAUUGAUGACGGGAUCACAUCAUUAAGAGAAUGAUGUGAUGGACAAGACCCAAUCCUAAGCAUAGCGCAAGAUCGUGUAGUUCGUUUGCUAAAACUUUUCCAAUGUCAAGUAUCAUUUCCUUAGACCAUGAGAUCGUGUAAUUCCCGGAUGCCGUAGGAGUGCUUUGGGUAUACCAAACGUCACAACGUAACUGGGUGACUAUAAAGGUACACUACAGGUAUCCCCGAAAGUAUCUGUUGGGUUGACACGGAUCAAGACUUGGGAUUUGUCACUCCGUAUGACGGAGAGGUAUCUCUUGGGCCCACUCGGUAAUGCAUCAUCAUAAUGAGCUCAAUGUGACCAAGUGCUUGGUCACGGGAUCAUGCAUUAUGUUACGAGUAAAGUGACUUGCCGGUAACGAGAUUGAACGAGGUAUUGGGAUACCGACGAUCGAAUCUCGGGCAAGUAACGUGCCGAUUGACAAAGGGAAUUGUAUACGGGAUUGAUUGAAUCCUCGACAUCGUGGUUCAUCCGAUGAGAUCAUCGAGGAUCAUGUGGGAGCCAACAUGGGUAUCCAGAUCCCGCUGUUGGUUAUUGACCGGAGAGUCGUCUCGGUCAUGUCUGCAUGUCUCCCGAACCUGUAGGGUCUACACACUUAAGGUUCGGUGACGCUAGGGUUGUAUAGAUAUUGGUAUGCAGUAACCCGAAAGUUGUUCGGAGUCCCAGAUGAGAUCCCGGACGUCACGAGGAGUUCCGGAAUGGUCCGGAGGUAAAGAAUUGUAUAUGGAAAGUCAAGUUUCGGCCAUCGGGAAGGUUUCGGGGGUCACCGGUAUUGUACCGGGACCACCAGAAGGGUCCCGGGGGUCCACCGGGUGGGGCCACCUAUCCCAGAGGGCCCCAUGGGCUGAAGUGGGAGGGGAACCAGCCCCUAGUGGGCUGGGGCGCCCCCCAUGGGCCUUCCCCCUGCGCCUAGGGUUGGAAACCCUAGGGGUGGGGGCGCCCCCCACCUGACUUGGGGGGCAAGCCCCCCUUGGCCGCCGCCCCCCCUGGGAGAUCCAUCUCCAGGGCCGGCGCCCCCCUUGGGGGUCCUAUAUAAAGGGGGGAGGGCAGCAGCACCUAAGCUUUGGCGCCUCCCUCUCCCACCCCAACAUCUCUCCUCCUCCGUAAGCGCUUGGCGAAGCCCUGCCGGAGUACUGCUGCUCCACCAUCACCACGCCGUCGUGCUGCUGGAGUCAUCUUCAUCAACCUCUCCUUCCCCUUGCUGGAUCAAGAAGGAGGAGACGUCUCUCCCAAACCGUACGUGUGUUGAACGCGGAGGUGCCGUCCGUUCGGCGCUAGGAUCAUCGGUGAUUUGGAUCACGGCGAGUACGACUCCAUCAACCCCGUUCUCUUGAACGCUUCCGUGCGCGAUCUACAUCAAGGGUAUGUAGAUGCUCUCUUAUCCCUCUCGUUGCUAGAAUACUCCUAGAUAGAUCUUGGUGAUGCGUAGAAAAUUUUAAAAUUCUGCUACGUUCCCCAACACUCAGGACACGACCGGAUGAGUCAAGCUACGAGUAAAACCAGCCCUCAAGUUUCCCCGAGGUGGCCCCGCAGGUUGCUCGGUUCGGACCAGCACUUAGAGAAGCACUGGCCCGGGGGGGCUAAAUAAAGAUGACCCUUGAGUCUGCAGAACCCAAGGGAAAGGUAUAGGUGGUAGGUAGGCAAAUGGUAAAACCAAAGUUGGGCCUUGCUGGAGGAGUUUUAUUCAAGGCGAACUGUCAAGGGGGUCUCAUAAAUCACCCAACCGUGUUAGGGACGCAAAAAUCCGGGAACAUAAUACCGAUAUGACGGAAACUAGGGUGGCAAGAGUGGAACAAAACACCAGGCAAAAGGCCGAGCCUUCCACCCUUUACCAAGUAUAUAGAUGCAUUAAUAAUAUAAGAGAUAUUGUGAUAUCCCAACAUAAACAUAAACCAACAUGGAGCAAACUUCAUCUUCACCUGCAACUAGCAACGCUAUAAGAGGGGCUGAGCAAAAGCGGUAACAUAGCCAAACAACGGUUUGCUAGGACGGGUGAAAAAGGUUAGAGGUUCAUGGCAAUUUGGGAGGCUUGAUAAGCAAGUGGUAGGUAACGCGGCAUAGCGAUAGAACGAAGCAACUAGUAUAGCAAUGAUAGUAAUGAGAUCCAAGGUGACGGUCAUCUUGUCUGAAACCCCGCUAGGAAGAAGAACGAGUCCAUGAAGCAGACAAACGGGCGGAGUCGAACGAAUCCUCACAACUCCGGAACGAAACCGAAGCUAACGAGAGAAGCAAACCGGAAAGGAGCAAACAACAUAGUAAACAAUCAUCACAUAAACAUGGCAUGAUGCACAAUCAAGUAUGAUGCAUGUCCGGUUUAAGGAGGCAUGGCAUGACAAAGUGCACAAAACAAAACUACAAAUUAAGUGGAGCUCAAUAUGCAACGAGUUGCAUAUUGCCGAAACACCACAUUCAAGUUAUUUAGUUCGCUCUUGGUUAUGUACCCAACAAUAUUAAAAGUUAAUUAAACAUGGCAAGGGGUGAAGCAUAAUAAAUCUAUCUAUUUAAGCAAGUUUAAAUGAGGCCGGAAAUAACAAACAACAAGUCCGGUAAAUCCUCAUGUGCAUAUUUUUGAUUUGGUACUGUUCUGCCCUAAAUCAUAUUUUAAUGUUGUUAAACAGUAAAACAAAGUGCAUCAAGUUAAUCUAUGCAUUUUUCCACCCCAUUUACAUAUAAAGUUUAUUAAAAUCGGAGUUACGGUUAUUUAGUUAUGGAAUAAAUCUUUUUCAUGGCAAUUUGAGCAAAUUUAAACAAACAACAUUUUAAGCAUUUUAAACAUGGAUGAAAGCAACAUAUUAUGAAACUAGAUGAAAUUCUAAGCAUUUUACAUAUAUAAUUCAUUUUAAUAUGAUGCACGGAUGUGGAGUUAUUAAUGCACGAACAUUAAGGGGUUUUCUGAGAAACUGCAGUUCCUGGGAAAAUAGCUAAAAUCGCAACAGAGGAAAAAAAACGCAUCGGGCCGAAUCUGGGACGGACUGGGUGCAGGACUGUGGGUGGCUCACCAUGGGCCAAGCCCAGUUCGGUGGGGAGGAGGAUGGGCAGGCCGCGAAGGGGCGCGCUGGGCCUUGGCGCGGAGGAGGCCGACCCGUGGUUGCAGCCCAUGUGAGCAGCCGAAUCGGUCAACAGGCGAAGGGGCGGGCGAGCUGCUGCUGCUCAUUUCCGAAGAACAGAAGCAACAGCAGGUUCAGGGCGACGGACGGCGAGAUGGUGGGGUCGGCAGGCGCGAGAAGCGGCGGGUCGGCGAGGCAACCGGCGACGGGGAGAGCUUGGCCAGAUCCGAACAAGGAGGCAGGCCGGCGACAGGGCAAACGGCGGCGGCUUGGCGAGGGACUUGGCGCUGGAGCUUCAGACGAAGCAGGGCGCGACAGCAGCAGCACGAGGGCGCGAAACAGAGGCAACGACAGCGGCUUGGCGAGGGACUCGGUGCGACGAUGACGAACUUGGCGCGGCGGAGCUUGCUGCUGGCGAUGCGGGCGAUGCGGGGCGACGGCCGCGAUCAACGCGAGACGCGGGCGAGCGGGCGCCUCGUCCUCUGCUCGUCAGGAAGCAGAGCAGCGGCGGCGUCUUGGCGCGGCUCCACGUCGGCGUCGGGGACGGGGAAACGGGCGGAGGUGGCCGGAGGAGCGCGAAACGGCGAAUCCACGUCAGAUCCAGGCGGUGGAGGUGGCUGACAGCAAAGCUUCAAGGCGACGGAGCUUCGUCCUGGGGCAGAGAGGAAACGAGAGAGUUGAGAGAGGGGAAAUGCAGGGAGGAAACGAAAGGUGAAGAAAAAGGGAGGUGGCCUGCGCUCAUCUGGUUGGCUGCUGGUUCGCUCGCCGGCGGGGAGGUUGGCGGUGACGCGGGGCUCCGGGCGAGCACCUGCUCGGGAGGGGAUCGAGGAGGCAGCGGGUGAGGUGGAGUUGGAUCGAGGGUUGCUCUGGUUGGCCGGGCGGAUCGAGGGGAGGCCUCGAGUGCUGGUUGGGUGAGAAGGGGAUCUGGGAGGAUCCCGAGGAAGAAGAUGGGUGAUGAGACAGGGGCGGCGGCUGGGAGGAUGGGACAAGGCUCCUAAAUUUUAGGGUUAGGCAGGUAGGUGGUCUAUUUAUAGAUAGAGGAGAAGGUUUAGGGUCUCACUAAUUUAGAUCCGACGGUCAGAAAAUUAGGUUAGGGAAAAUUAGAUAAGAAACUGAAGAUAUUUUAGGACUAUUUGGAGAUGAUCCGAACCUAGCGACAGCCCGGGUCGGGUUUGGGUAAGUUUCAGACGAGCAAGCGAGGGGUCAAAGCACUGUGCAAGGAGGGGUUAGGUGGUUUGACAAGAGGGAAUCGAAAACACGGUUGGUCUAGGAACGGUCAACAAAGGCAAGGGGGACGCGGCAACUACGAGCGGAUGCAAGUUUUAGAAAACAUGUGAUGCAAUGCUCAUGAUGACAUGAUGAAUGCAACAAACAAAAUAAAACACACGGCGAACACGAAAAACAUGGAGGGCGUCUGAAGCAUCGGUCUCAGGGCGUUACAACACUCCACCACUACAAGAGGAUCUCGUGCCGAGAUCUAGGGAUGGCACCGGAGAGAAACAGAAGUGGAAGAGGUAAAACAAAUUGCUUCUUUGACAAAUGAGUGAAACCAAAGAACCUUCGAGGUUGAACAAAUUUAAAGAAGGAAUAAAACGAAGGUGAACAAAGUUGAAAACACUCCGUUAGAAAAAAAGGAACAAGGAACAAUACGGGAACCUUGUAGGUUGAAAGACAUAAGAAAAAGGGUUGCAAUGGCCAAGAAGUGCAUGCAAGCACUCCGGUUGAAACGAGAUGUACAAGGAACGAUAAAGAUCAAUUACGACAACACUCCGGUACAAGAUAGAGAAGGAAUAAGAGUGAUAUAAUUUGGACAGCACUCCGACUGUAAAUGGAAGGAAUUGAACAUGAACUUGACAAGACGAGGCGAUGGGUGAAAGAGAGCAACAUCACCAUGCCUCGGGAAGAGAUGAAAGAAUGGAAUGGAAUGAACGGAGAGAAACAAGAUCUUGAAAGAGCACACUUACAAGAAAUGCUAGAACGGAGUUGUUGGAUUAUCAACAACGAAAGGAUAAGCUUGUUGUGGGCUUAUGGAAAACAACUCAAAACUAUGAGGUGAAGACCAACCACUAACAGAAUCAAUUAAUUGCUUGAGAGCAACACGGAGAUGAAAACUCUUUCACCGAGAAGAGAAGGAGAAACUUGGAUCAUUGAUGAGCACCAAAAGUAGCAACAUUCCCAAAGGAAGGCUUUAGGUGAAAUCUUUACAAAGAAUACUCCAAUGGAGAAACGAUGGGUUUAAAUAUCUCAUGCUCGAAAACUUGUGAAUCAUGAAACACAAAGAAAUUGUCAAAAAUGACAUAACACCACCUCAAAUGAUAAGGUAGAACGAAUUGCACUUCGGAAUGCAAGAUGAAGAAUACUUGAACUCCUCAAAACAAGACAUGUGUUGAACACCAUGUUUGUUUAGAGUAUAGCUUUGCGGAUCAUAACUUCGAGAGAAAUCUUGAAGAACAAUUGAAGAAUGAAAGGAAUCCUUGACGAACCACCAUGUCGAGCCUCCAUGAAUAACUCUGGUAAUGAAAAGAUGAUGAAAAGAAAGAGAAGUUGAGAACACAAGGAGAAACCUUGCGAUCAUUUAGAUGGAGCUUCGCGAUGAGAUAAUGCGGAAAACUUGAAACUCCGGAAAGAAAGAUGAACAAUUGAAACCAAGAAUUUUUUGAUGAACUUCCGGAAUAAGGAAUUGAAUCACCUUGAGGAAAACAAGAAUAAGGUUUAUUGUAUGUUUAUCCUCCAUCAACUUAAAUUGAUGACAAACAAUGGAUUUUUGGCAUACUACUCAUUCUCAUUGAAAAAGGCUUGAAGAGAGAUAUUGCUCAAUUUGGGAAAUUCUUCAACGAUCCGCCGGUAGGAUUUGGAAAGAACGAAUGAAUUGAUAUGAUAACCAAGAAAGAGAACUCUUGAACGAACGACCGUAAGAAUUGGAAAUGAGAGUAGCAAAGGCACAAUUCACCGGAAGAAUUAGAAAAUGAAUAAAGAUACUUGAAAGAAUUUAGAUACAAGUGAACGAAGAGAUCACGAGUUGAUUAGAGAAUACUUGAACGAUGCACCGGUAAGAUUUGGAGAUCGAGAGCUGAAAACUAAGAAUGAAUAAACCCGAAAUGAUGGCCUUCGUAGGAAUAAAAUGGAAAGGAUUCACGAAAUGCUCCGGGUUGUAAGAAAAUAAUUGUCACAAUCAAAAACAAUUAUGAGGAUGGCAACAAGCUAGAACCAUGAAUCUUUGGAAGAACGGGUAAGGAUUUAAGAGGAACUCUUCUUCGGUCUUCAAAUCCGAAAAUGACGACGAGAAACACCACCAUGAAUUGUUGAGGCACUCCGGAAUAAAAAUUAGAAAGCUUGAACCAGCGAUGAAAAGAAUUUGGAAGAUCUUGGAGAAAGACAUUUGACUGAUGAGAAUUCAUUCUUACGUCAAACUUCGAAAUUAAUUGAGAAUAACACCGGAAAAGUUAGAAGAGUUAGGUAAGAUCCUGGGAAAAGACCUGUGGGUUAGGGCCCACUCAAAGAAACACCUUUCGAAAAUUUUGCUUGAAAGAUAUUGCACCGGUUGAAUUAAAUGCCUUGAAUGAGAUAUCAACCUCGAAAUAGCUUGAACAAAUUAGGAAUGGAAAUGUGAAUCUUCUGAGAUAACUUUAAGCACUCCAGAGAAGAAAUAGAGGGAGGUGAAUAAUUAAGAGGUGCACCCACAUGACAAAGCAAUUGACACGAGGGAAGGAAUAUGAUCAACACUGAAAGCUUGAAUUGAAUCCACCGAAGAAGAAGAUGAGAACGAAGACAGAUGAACUUGAAGCUCCUAAGCAUCUUCAUGAGAAUCACCGGCUAAGAACAUUGACGGAAAAGAAUGGGGAGACUUCUCAUCAAUAAAAGGAUACUUGAUUAAAUUUUUUGUCUCCAUGAAGAAAAAGGGUGGGAGGGUGGGAAAAACAAAGACAACUUGGGACGAAUGGAACAAACACCGUUGAGAAGAACUGAAAUUUGAUCUCGCGAAUGUUGAAAAUGAUCGGAUCCACUUGAAGAGAAAGCACACCGGUUGGAAAAGAAUUGACAUGACACUCUCGAUGAUAAAGAAGGAUUAGCACUCCCAUAGAAAUAUGAGAGCACCGUUUCGAAUAAGGUAUGGAAUCAACACUUGACAUCGAAGCAACACGAAUACCACAACAAAAACAAAACAAGGAUUUGGUUCGCAGAAUAAGCCGGAAACAAACAUAUGAUAGAGAUUUCGUCCGAAGUUUUCGUGGUGGGGCCCACACGGGCUCGAUCGUACAGCACCAUCAUGUACAAGGCAGUGCACAUGACAUACGAAGCGUCCCCGAGUCAGCAUAGCCAAGGACUCUUUAAGACACAACGAGACCACUGUAAAACCAACCGUGGAUAGGCGGACCACUAGACGUCGAACCCCAAUCUCAUAUGAUGCAUCUGUCGGAAAGAUAUCCUAGGGGCUACUUGAAUUCCCACCUAUAAACUCCCGAAACUUUCUGGUUAUGCAAUCUGGUGUUGGGGAUACAGGGGAAGCAAUAUAUAUCUCACCCAAACUAACAAUUCCUACAUCCAGCUGUAUCCAUCCGUCAACACAUAACCAAGAAAACUCCGGAAAUCGUGUACCUCAACCUUCGAAAAGCAUCCGUUAUACAAGUUAUGGCAAUACUCCCGAACUCCCGCCCCAGUACUGGGUGACGUCGAGGUUAUCUCACCAACAACUGCAUAAAAGAGAUUUUCGAUGUUGACGAAAAAAAACUCAGGUAUUCCAGAACUGCAACGAUAAAAUUGUGACGACAACACCUCGGAGCUCAACUCCCCGGGACAUUGCCACAACCCCUAAAUGUCAGGAGGCACCAAGAACAAUGUUCUCGUCACAAAACCAUCGAAACGAUUCCAAGAUACCCGCGUGAUCCUAAAUUUUUUUUAGUGAAAUUUGAGGAGAGGAAAGUCAAAACAUCUACGUCAGGAGGCCUCACCAGAGCGACGAAGGGACUGAGGAGUAAAAAGAAUCCUACUCUCCGAUAUAUAUAAUCCUAAGACUCAAAACAUUUUUGUUCUAGACUCAACAACGCCAGCGAUUCAAUCAAGCAGGGGCUCCUAAGUCGGGGAUGGCUCUGAUACCAACUUGUAACACCCACGAUGCGGCUAUAUCUCUCACAUGUCAAGACACGACUUAGAGGCAUAACCGCAUUGUAGGUUUUGUCGCAAGAAGGGUCAUCUUCACACAAUCCCAUGUAAUGAACAAGAAUGGGAUAAAGAGUUGGCUUACAAUCGCCACUUCACACAAUACAUAAAUAAAACAUACAUCAUUCAGAGUACACACAUAGGCCGACUACGGACAAAUCCAAAUAAAAAGAAGAUAACCCAACUGCUAGAUCCCGAUCUUCCCCAACUGGGCAUCACUACUGAUCAACAUGAAAAUAAACAUAGAAACGACCAAGUCUCUCGUCGAAACCCGACUUGAGUUCGGCAGCAUCACCUGCGCUGGUAUCCUCGGCACCUGCAAUUAUUUUUGUAGUAAUAUGUGAGCCACAAGGACUCAGCAAUCCCAUUACCAUGGGUAACAAGACUAGCAAAGCUUAAUGGGAAAGGAAGGGGUAAAGUGGUGAGGUUGCAGCAGCGGCUAAGCAAGUAUGGUGGCUAUCAUACGCAAAUAAGAGCGAGAAGAGAAGCAAUGGAACGGUCGUCAACUAGUAAUGAACAAGAAGUGAUCCUGAACUCCUAUUUACGCCAAGCAUAACCCAAGGACCGUGUUCUCCUCUCGAACAACCCCGAAAGAGAGACAAUCACAGUUACGCACACGGUUGGUGUAUUUUAGAAAAGAUUACUUCAAGUUUACUACAACCGGAUAUUAACAAAUUCCCAUCUGCCACAUAACCGCGGGCACGGCUUUCGAAAGUUCAAAACCCUGCAGGGGUGUCCCAACUUAGCCCAUGAUAAGCUCUCACGGUCAACGAAGGAUAUUCCUUCUCCCGGGAAGACCCGAUCAAUCUCGGAAUCCCGGUUACAAGACAUUUCGACAAGUUAAAAUAAGACCAACAAAGCCGCCCGGCGUGUCGACACCCUGAUAGAAGCCGCACGUAUCUCGUUCUCAGGACACGACCGGAUGAGUCAAGCUACGAGUAAAACCAGCCCUCAAGUUUCCCCGAGGUGGCCCCGCAGGUUGCUCGGUUCGGACCAGCACUUAGAGAAGCACUGGCCCGGGGGGGGCUAAAUAAAGAUGACCCUUGAGUCUGCAGAACCCAAGGGAAAGGUAUAGGUGGUAGGUAGGCAAAUGGUAAAACCAAAGUUAGGCCUUGCUGGAGGAGUUUUAUUCAAGGCGAACUGUCAAGGGGGUCCCAUAAAUCACCCAACCGUGUUAGGGACGCAAAAAUCUGGGAACAUAAUACCGAUAUGACGGAAACUAGGGUGGCAAGAGUGGAACAAGACACUAGGCAAAAGGCCGAGCCUUCCACCCUUUACCUAGUAUAUAGAUGCAUUAAUAAUAUAAGAGAUAUUGUGAUAUCCCAACAUAAACAUAAACCAACAUGGAGCAAACUUCAUCUUCACCUGCAACUAGCAACGCUAUAAGAGGGGCUGAGCAAAAGCGGUAACAUGGCCAAACAACGGUUUGCUAGGACGGGUGAAAAAGGUUAGAGGUUCAUGGCAAUUUGGGAGGCUUGAUAAGCAAGUGGUAGGUAACGCGGCAUAGCGAUAGAACGAAGCAACUAGUAUAGCAAUGAGAUCCAAGGUGACGGUCAUCUUGCCUGAAAUCCCGCUUGGAAGAAGAACGAGUCCAUGAAGCAGACAAACGGGCGGAGUCGAACGAAUCCUCACAACUCCGGAACGAAACCGUAGCUAACAAGAGAAGCAAACCGGAAAGGAGCAAACAACAUAGUAAACAAUCAUCACAUAAACAUGGCAUGAUGCACAAUCAAGUAUGAUGCAUGUCCGGUUUAAGGAGGCAUGGCAUGACAAAGUGCACAAAACAAAACUACAAAUUAAGUGGAGCUCAAUAUGCAACGAGUUGCAUAUUGCCGAAACACCACAUUCAAGUUAUUUAGUUCGCUCUCGGUUAUGUACCCAACAAUAUUAAAAGUUAUUAAACAUGGCAAGGGGUGAAGCAUAAUAAAUCUAUCUAUUUAAGUAAGUUUAAAUGAGGCCGGAAAUAACAAACAACAAGUCCGGUAAAUCCUCAUGUGCAUAUUUUUGAUUUGGUACUGUUCUGCCCUAAAUCAUAUUUUAAUAUUGUUAAACAGUAAAACAAAGUGCAUCAAGUUAAUCUAUGCAUUUUCCACCCCAUUUACAUAUAAAGUUUAUUAAAAUCGGAGUUACGGUUAUUUAGUUAUGAAAUAAAUCAUUUUCAUGGCAAUUUGAGCAAAUUUAAACAAACAACAUUUUAAGCAUUUUAAACAUGGAUGAAAGCAACAUAUUAUGAAACUAGAUGAAAUUCUAAGCAUUUUACAUAUAUAAUUCAUUUUAAUAUGAUGCACGGAUGUGGAGUUAUUAAUGCAUGAACAUUAAGGGGUUUUCUGAAAAACUGCAGUUCCUGGGAAAAUAGCUAAAAUCGCAACAGAGGAAAAAAACGCAUCGGGCCGAAUCUGGGACGGAUUGGGUGCAGGACUGUGGGUGGCUCACCAUGGGCCAAGCCCAGUUCGGUGGGGAGGAGGAUGGGCAGGCCGCGAAGGGGCGCGCUGGGCCUUGGCGCGGAGGAGGCCGACCCGUGGUUGCAGCCCAUGUGAGCAGCCGAAUCGGUCAACAGGCGAAGGGGCGGGCGAGCUGCUGCUGCUCAUCUCUGAAGAACAGAACCAACAGCAGGUUCAGGGCGACGGACGGCGAGAUGGUGGGGUCGACAGGCGCGAGAAGCAGCGGGUCGGCGAGGCAACCGGCGACGGGGAGAGCUUGGCCGGAUCCGAACAAGGAGGCAGGCCGGCGGCAGGGCAAACGGCGGCGGCUUGGCGAGGGACUUGGCGCUGGAGCUUCAGACGAAGCAGGGCGCGACAGCAGCAGCACGAGGGCGCGAAACAGAGGCAACGGCGGCGGCUUGGCGAGGGACUCGGCGCGACGACGGCGAACUUGGCGCGGCGGAGCUUGCUGCUGGCGAUGCGGGGCGACGGCCGCGAUCAACGCGAGACGCGGGCGAGCGGGCGCCUCGUCCUCUGCUCGUCAGGAAGCAGAGCAGCGGCGGCGUCUUGGCACGACUCCACGUCGGCGCCGGGGACGGGGAAACGGGCGGAGGUGGCCGGAGGAGCGCGAAACGGCGAAUCCACGUCGGAUCCAGGCGGUGGAGGUGGCUGACAGCAAAGCUUCAAGGCGACGGAGCUUCGUCCUGGGGCAGAGAGGAAAAGAGAGAGUUGAGAGAGGGGAAACGCAGGGAGGAAACGGAAGGUGAAGAAAAAGGGAGGUGGCCGGCGCUCAUCUGGUUGGCUGCUGGUUCGCUCGCCGGCGGGGAGGUUGGCGGUGACGCGGGGCUCCGGGCGAGCACCUGCUCGGGAGGGGAUCGAGGAGGCAGCGGGUGAGGUGGAGUUGGAUCGAGGGUUGCUCUGGUUGGCCGGGCGGAUCGAGGGGAGGCCUCGAGUGCUGGUUGGGUGAGAAGGGGAUCUGGGAGGAUCCCGAGGAAGAAGAUGGGUGAUGAGACAGGGGCGGCGGCUGGGAGGAUGGGACAAGGCUCCUAAAUUUUAGGGUUAGGCAGGUAGGUGGUCUAUUUAUAGAUAGAGGAGAAGGUUUAGGGUCUCACUAAUUUAGAUCCG
rnacentral:lncRNA from 1 species